rnacentral:piRNA from 1 species
UGGCAAAUAGGUAGAAGAAAAGACGUAUGU